GGGAAUUUUGGACAAUGGGCGCAAGCCUGAUCCAGCAAUGCCGCGUGAGUGAAGAAGGCCUUCGGGUUGUAAAGCUCUUUUGUCAGGGAAGAAACGGUGAAGGCUAAUAUCUUUUGCUAAUGACGGUACCUGAAGAAUAAGCACCGGCUAACUACGUGCCAGCAGCCGCGGUAAUACGUAGGGUGCAAGCGUUAAUCGGAAUUACUGGGCGUAAAGCGUGCGCAGGCGGUUUUGUAAGUUUGUCGUGAAAGCCCCGGGCUCAACCUGGGAAUUGCGAUGAAGACUGCAAGGCUUGAAUCUGGCAGAGGGGGGUAGAAUUCCACGUGUAGCAGUGAAAUGCGUAGAGAUGUGGAGGAACACCGAUGGCGAAGGCAGCCCCCUGGGUCAAGAUUGACGCUCAUGCACGAAAGCGUGGGGAGCAAACA
rnacentral:rRNA from 1 species